rnacentral:rRNA from 1 species
UACGAAGGGGGCUAGCGUUGUUCGGAAUUACUGGGCGUAAAGCGCACGUAGGCGGGUCGUUAAGUCAGGGGUGAAAUCCCGGAGCUCAACUCCGGAACUGCCUUUGAUACUGGCGAUCUUGAGAUCGGAAGAGGUGAGUGGAAUUCCCAGUGUAGAGGUGAAAUUCGUAGAUAUUGGGAAGAACACCAGUGGCGAAGGCGGCUCACUGGUCCGAUACUGACGCUCAUGCACGAAAGCGUGGGGAGCAAACAGG